rnacentral:rRNA from 1 species
GGUCAAGUGAAGAAGCGCAUACGGUGGAUGCCUUGGCAGUCAGAGGCGAUGAAAGACGUGGUAGCCUGCGAAAAGGUUCGGGGAGUCGGCAAACAGACUUUGAUCCGGAGAUCUCUGAAUGGGGGAACCCACCUAGGAUAACCUAGGUAUCUUGUACUGAAUCCAUAGGUGCAAGAGGCGAACCAGGGGAACUGAAACAUCUAAGUACCCUGAGGAAAAGAAAUCAACCGAGAUUCCCUUAGUAGUGGCGAGCGAACGGGGAUUAGCCCUUAAGCUUCAUUGAUUUUAGCGGAACGCUCUGGAAAGUGCGGCCAUAGUGGGUGAUAGCCCCGUACGCGAAAGGAUCUUUGAAGUGAAAUCGAGUAGGACGGAGCACGAGAAACCCUGUCUGAAUAUGGGGGGACCAUCCUCCAAGGCUAAAUACUCCUGACUGACCGAUAGUGAACCAGUACCGUGAGGGAAAGGCGAAAAGAACCCCGGCG